CGUAGGAGGCAAGCGUUAUCCGGAUUCACUGGGCGUAAAGCGCGUGCAGGUGGCUCGGUAAGUUGGGCGUGAAAUCUCCCGGCUCAACUGGGAGAGGUCGUUCAAUACUACCGAGCUAGAGAGCAGAAGAGGAAGAUGGAAUUCCCGGUGUAGUGGUGAAAUGCGUAGAUAUCGGGAGGAACACCAGUGGCGAAGGCGAUCUUCUGGUCUGUUUCUGGCACUCAGACGCGACAGCUAGGGUAGUAAACGGGAUUAGAGACCCCGGUAAUCCUAGCCGUAAACGAUGUGAACUUGGCGUUGGUGGGUUAAACUCCAUCAGUGCCGAAGCAAACGCGAUAAGUUCACCGCCUGGGGACUACGGCCGCAAGGUUA
rnacentral:rRNA from 1 species